GGUUGAGUGGUGUAGUGGUUAUCACGUGUCGUUCACAUAAUUGUGAGCACUUCAAUCCGACAAGGUCCCCGGUUCGAUCCCGGGCUUAAUCA